rnacentral:rRNA from 1 species
CUUAAGCAUGUCGCAAACUGCAAGCACUGUGGCGCCAAAAAAUUCGAGUAUGAGACAAAGUCCUUCUGCUGUCAGAAUGGUAAAAUCAAGUUAGCAAACCCAGAGCCAAUUCCAGAACUAAUGAGGCUCUGGUCAAGCGCAGAUGCAGAUGCGAGGCAUUUUCGUGAUAACAUUAGGUUCUUUAACUCACACUUUUCCUUCACCACCCUUGGCGUCAACCUUGACAACAACUACACAAAUAUGCGAUCAGGCGUGUACACGUUUCGUGCGCAUGGACAGAUUUACCACAAUAUCCAUUCAUUUGGGUCGAGGGAUUCAGGCCCAGACCAUCUGCAGUUGUAUUUCUACGAUGAUGAUCCCAGCCUACAACAUCGCUUUCGGCACUCCCCAGGACUCGACCAGGAGAUCAUUAGAAAGCCGGUCAACAUCCUUAGGGACAACCCCUAUUCUCAGACAUUCAGGAGUCUCGGCCAGGUCGAGGAACUAGAGGAGUACCGAAUAUCCUUAAACACUGACCAGAGGUUGGACCAACGGACAUAUAAUGUGCCAGUGUCAUCAGAGGUGGCUGCAGUGUGGGUUGAGGGCAAUGACCUAAUUAGGAAGUUUGACCGCAGCAUCAUCUUAUAUGGGAACAACAACAGCAACUAUGCUAUACAGCCAUAUUAG